CCUACGGGGGGCUGCAGUAAGGAAUAUUGGUCAAUGGACGAAAGUCUGAACCAGCCAUGCCGCGUGGAGGAUGAAGGUCCUCUGGAUUGUAAACUUCUUUUAUAUGGGACGAAAAAAGGCUUUUCUAAGUCGUCUGACGGUACCAUAUGAAUAAGCACCGGCUAACUCCGUGCCAGCAGCCGCGGUAAUACGGAGGGUGCCAGCGUUAUCCGGUUUCACUGGUGUUAAGGUGUGUGGGGGUGUCAUGGUAGAAAUCCCCGAGCUUAACUUGGGAACUGCCAUUGAUACUAUCAGUCUUGAAUACCGUGGAGGUCAGCGGAAUAUGUCAUGUAGCGGUGAAAUGCUUAGAUAUGACAUAGAACACCAAUUGCGAAGGCAGCUGGCUACCCGAAUAUUGACACUGAGGCACGAAAGCGUGGGGAUCAAACAGGAUUAGAUACCCUAGUAGUC
rnacentral:rRNA from 1 species